GCGGCAAAAGCUCAAAUUUGAAAUCUGGCACUUUCAGUGUCCGAGUUGUAAUUUGAAGAAGGUAUCUUUGGGUCUGGCUUUUGUCUAUGUUUCUUGGAACAGAACGUCACAGAGGGUGAGAAUCCCGUGCGAUGAGAUGACCCAGACCUAUGUAAAGUUCCUUCGAAGAGUCGAGUUGUUUGGGAAUGCAGCUCUAAGUGGGUGGUAAAUUCCAUCUAAAGCUAAAUAUUGGCGAGAGACCGAUAGCGAACAAGUACAGUGAUGGAAAGAUGAAAAGAACUUUGAAAAGAGAGUGAAAAAGUACGUGAAAUUGUUGAAAGGGAAGGGCUUGAGAUCAGACUUGGUAUUUUGUAUGUUACUCUCUCGGGGGUGGCCUCUACAGUUUACCGGGCCAGCAUCAGUUUGGGCGGUAGGACAAUUGCAAAGAAAUGUGGCACUGCCUCGGUAGUGUGUUAUAGUCUUUGUCGAUACUGCCAGCCUAGACUGAGGACUGCGGCUUCGGCCUAGGAUGUUGGCAUAAUGAUCUUAAGUCGCCCGUCUU
rnacentral:rRNA from 1 species